AACGCGAAGAACCUUACCUGGAUUUGACAUCCUCUGAAUACAGUAGAGAUAUUGUCGGCUCGCAAGAGACAGAGAGACAGGUGCUGCAUGGCUGUCGUCAGCUCGUGUUGUGAAAUGUUGGGUUAAGUCCCGCAACGAGCGCAACCCCUGUGCUUGGUUGCCAUCAUUAAGUUGGGCACUCCAAGCAGACUGCCGUCGUCAAGACGGAGGAAGGUGGGGAUGACGUCAAGUCCUCAUGGCCUUUAUAUCCAGGGCGACACACGUGAUACAAUGGUAGGCACAAAGGGCAGCGAAGUGGUGACACGGAGCCAAUCUCAAAAAAGCCUAUCUCAGUUCGGAUUGGAGUCUGCAACUCGACUCCAUGAAGUUGGAAUCGCUAGUAAUCGCGGAUCAGAACGCCGCGGUGAAUACGUUCCCGGGCCUUGUACACACCGACGUAUA
rnacentral:rRNA from 1 species